rnacentral:lncRNA from 1 species
GGGGCGGCGGCGGGUUUCGUUGCUGUGGACGAAGCGACUCUGAAGGAAAACGAGGCCUGGGCCGGGCAGCAGCAGCACCUUCACUACGGCCCGGCACGGUGCUGAGUGCUGGGAAGCUGGCAGGAGAGCGGCCGGGGGAGGUCAGCCCUCGGUCAGAAGAGCAGGAUGGAGCUUUGCCAGCUCAGCGGUUUUUGUUCUCGGCCAGCAGAGAAAUGCACCUAGAACUUGUGCUGCGACAACAGUGAGGGAAAGAGCGAAGAAAGAAGCUAUUUACUGAUGUCUCCCAAUGGCAAUAUCACCUUCCUCAUCCAGGAUAUCCCUCACAAGAGAACAGUCUGAUCUAUGGCAGUUUGUCACCUUGGCAGUAUCAGAGGGCCACCAGGAUCUGAGUUUGUUUUGAAAAACCAAAGAGCAACACAAUACUGGAAGUACAAGACACUGCAAAUGCAUGAAGAACAACUUCAUCUGGCGGUCAGCUGAUGCCUUGAAGCAUGAGGUGUGAUAACUUUGAUGUUAGUGGAAUGACAGGUUACUCAUUGUCAUUAUGCUAGCUAACAGCACAGAGCAGAGAACGGUGGAAAAGCCUUUGGAAAGUAAGAAGUGUCUGCGAUCCAGCAGCUGCUGUGACUCACAGGGGGAUUUCACAUGGGAAUGACUGAAAGCAGACACAGAAGAAAG